rnacentral:rRNA from 1 species
CUGGCGGCUCUGCCGUCCGAGUUGUAUUCUGGAGAAGCGUCUUCCGCGCCGGACCGUGUACAAGUGCCUUGGAACAGGACGUCAUAGAGGGUGAGAAUCCCGUCUUUGACACGGACCCCCGGCGCUCUGCGAUGCGCUCUCGAAGAGUCGAGUUGUUUGGGAAUGCAGCUCAAAACGGGUGGUAAAUUCCAUCUAAAGCUAAAUAUUGGCGAGAGACCGAUAGCGAACAAGUACCGUGAGGGAAAGAUGAAAAGCACUUUGGAAAGAGAGUAAAACAGUACGUGAAAUUGUUGAAAGGGAAACGCUUGAAGUCAGUCACGUCUGCCGGAACUCAGCCUCGCUUCUGCUUGGCGCACUUUCCGGUCCGACGGGCCAGCAUCGGUUUCGCGCGGCGGACACUGGCGGGGGGAAGGUGGCGGCUCUGGCCGCGUUAUAGCCUCUCGCCGCGAACGUCGCUCGGGACCGAGGAAUCCGGCGCGAGCCUGGGAUGCUGGCGUAAUGGCUUUAAACGACCCGUCUUGAAACACGGACCAAGGAGUGCUACGUGCUCGCGAGUGUUCGGGUGGAAAACCCGGGCGCGCAAUGAAAGUGAAAGUCGAUACCCCUCGCGGGGGCACCGACGCCCGAGCCCGAUGUUUUCGGACGGCCUUGCGGUAGAGCGAGUGCGUUGCGACCCGAAAGAUGGUGAACUAUUCCUGAGGAGGGCGAAGCCAGAGGAAACUCUGGUGGAGGCUCGUAGCGGUUCUGAACGUGC